UUCAACUUUAAAUGAUCCGCGACCAUGCCGUCACUGCGCGUCACUCCCAGAUAACCUAAAAUGGGCAAACAGGCGGGUAGUGGUGCUGAGGUGAGGUGAGCUGAGGUGGAUGGUUGCUGAAACCCUGCCUGCCUAGUUCGACAUGACCGAGUUAGCUCAGGCUAAGGAGCUAAUGCUAUAUGCUACUCUGCGUUAACAGAAGUAACUUCUACCUGGGUCUUGUCUGGUUGGAGGUUGGUAGCCUGUGGCCACAUCGUUACCAGCUUAUCCUGAAGUCAAAGUGUGGAUCCGAUAUCCCACCUGGUGCCAGACAGCUGCAGAGAUCUGGAACUCAUCCUCACUGUGCUGGAUGUCUGUACCUGAUGAUGUGGACUGACGUGGAAAGGCCUUCUCCCCUUCUGUUCACUUUUACAUUUAGUUUUAAAUGUUGUCCAUAGGUGUUUUUACACACAACUUUGAGGACGUUAUCUCUUAACUUCUCAGGAAAUAAGGACCUGAAUCUGUGGAGGCCAGCCAUUAUUAAACAUCUGUAAUCAACUGCAGCUUCUUCCACUCUAACUAACUGAGAUGUGAUGGUGAACCACAUUCAGAGCAUCCAUGAACACAGCACGCUGGAACCAGUUACGACAUAACUUAUACGCAUACGCAUCAGCCCUCAUGGAGUCCACUGCACCUGCUUAGCAGAUCGGCCAAAAGAUCCUCAUGGAUGGAUCACAUACAGGCUAUGGGAUGGAUGAGGCAGUCAGCCUUUAGCACAGGACAUAAAUGUGAAACCAGCACAGAAGUCUUGGUUCACGGUUUUCAGGUUAAGAUCUUUAUUAAUGAAGGCAAAGCCAGAUCAGUCCUACAAUUAAUAUUAUCUUCAGCCAAAGACAUACUCAGUCACAUUUGUCUAUUUGUAAGAUAUUUAAAAAACAUCUCUAAAAGAGAGAUUUUAUCUGGUAAACAAAUCAAUGGACAAAUCUCAGCCAACGCUUGAGGUGUGACUUUUGUUGUUCUCAGCACUGAAAGGAAGUAUUUUGUUUUGU